UUAGGACAAAUAUCAGAUAAAAAGAGAUCCCUAUUUGUCUUGGCUAAGGUGGUAAAACGCUUCUGAUAUCAGAGCAGCUAUGGCAGAAUCUGAUAUGAUAUGCUGAAUAACAAAGAGGCAGAAAAAAGGUAUCUUCAUCACAUUUCACGGUGAUGGAAGUAAUUUGUUCAUCUGCAAAGCUAAGACUGCUGAAGCUCGAACCGUUUGCAAUAAAAGACAUGGCAGGAAAUGGA